rnacentral:rRNA from 1 species
CCUACGGGUGGCAGCAGUGGGGAAUAUUGGGCAAUGGGCGCAAGCCUGACCCAGCAACGCCGCGUGAAGGAAGAAGGCUUUCGGGUUGUAAACUUCUUUUCUGGGGGACGAACAAAUGACGGUACCCCAGGAAUAAGCCACGGCUAACUACGUGCCAGCGGCCGCGGUAAUACGUAGGUGGCCAGCGUUAUCCGGAUUUAUUGGGUGUAAAGGGCGUGUAGGCGGGAAUGCAAGUCAGGUGUGAAAACUCAGGGCUCAAGCCUGAGCCUGCAUUUGAGACUGUGUUUCUUGAGUGCUGGGGAGGCAAGCGGAAUGCCGGGUGUAGCGGUGAAAUGCGUAGAUAUACGGAGGAACACCAGUGGCGAAGGCGGAUUGCUGGACAGUAACUGACGCUGAGGCGCGAAAGCGUGGGGAGCAAACAGGAUUAGAUACCCUUGUAGUC